rnacentral:rRNA from 1 species
AUUGAACGCUGGCGGCAGGCCUAACACAUGCAAGUCGAACGGUAACAGGAAGAAGCUUGCUUCUUUGCUGACGAGUGGCGGACGGGUGAGUAAUGUCUGGGAAACUGCCUGAUGGAGGGGGAUAACUACUGGAAACGGUAGCUAAUACCGCAUAACGUCGCAAGACCAAAAAGGGGGACCUUCGGGCCUCUUGCCAUCGGAUGUGCCCAGAUGGGAUUAGCUAGUAGGUGGGGUAACGGCUCACCUAGGCGACGAUCCCUAGCUGGUCUGAGAGGAUGACCAGCCACACUGGAACUGAGACACGGUCCAGACUCCUACGGGAGGCAGCAGUGGGGAAUAUCGCACAAUGGGCGCAAGCCUGAUGCAGCCAUGCCGCGUGUAUGAAGAAGGCCUUCGGGUUGUAAAGUACUUUCAGCGGGGAGGAAGGGAGUAAAGUUAAUACCUUUGCUCAUUGACGUUACCCGCAGAAGAAGCACCGGCUAACUCCGUG